AGCUCCACACAACCACUCAAGACCACAGAAAACUUUAUGCCGCCUUGCCUCCAUCCUGCUCCUAUCCCUCUCCGAAUAUCUGUUAUCUUCCGCCACCACUCCUCCAGCAUCACAAAACCCUUGAUGACUCUGACCCUAAAAGCGAGUUAUACUUCCAGCUUCCAUCCGACUUCCCCUGUUCUCGUUAUUCACGAUGUCGAUCUCAUCGCUCUUUUCUCUUGCUAGCGUCAUAACAUCCUCACUGUUGUAGCAAGGUAGCGACAUACCUCAUCAUUUACUCCUUAGCACUUAGCAACACCGAAGAUGGUAAGUUCUGAUUUUUGAUCAAUUAUUUUUGGGUAAUGUGGGAGUUCGAAUUUCAUUGUGUGCAAUUUUGUCUUCUGGCCCAUCUCUUGCCCGGUAGCAUGAAUUUUUCUUAAACUAUUGUAUUUUUAGUUCUCAAAUAUCUAUCAAUUUGCCAGCGCUUUAGUUUCCAAAUGUUUAUUGGAAAUAUAUUCUCAUCAAGUGGGAAGCAUCACAUGGAACGUCAUCUUGUUGAUAUAUUUAGCAGGUCCUUGUUUUAUUUUGUUACAAUAUGUUUUAUCUCAAGCAAUGUGAUAGCGAGAUGAUGAAGAAGAGGUCGUUAGUUGUUUGUAUCCUAAUGACAUAUAUACAAUGAUAAUAAAAACUUGCUUGUAUUAAUUUACUAGUAUAUAUCACCCUUGAUUUAAUAGUUUUGAUUAAUUCUUUAUGGUAUGAUGGAUACUAGUUGUAGAAGAUGAUAACUUUUGUGAUUUAUUUCUUUUUGCACAAAAUAUGUACCACAAUUGAUAAAUUUUGUGAUUUAUUUCUCACUUUAUGGAGUUUGGAUUUUGAUUUAACGAAGUCUUCAUUUUGAUUUUAUGUGACAUCCCCAAUUUCACGGUCAGAAAAGACCGAUUUAUUUAUGCUUAUUUUGAAAUCAAAGUUUCCUUAAAAGAAUAAUAUUGCGGAAUAUGUUCCCAAAAACAUGAUAAUGAUAUUAUUAAAACAUUUUCCAAUAAACGUAUUUAUAUUAAAACCUUGAGAUGUCAAUAUGUCAUUGUCGAUACAGUACAUAAGCAUAAAUGAAACAAUACAUACCUUACACUACUUAGGGGCUGUUUGAUUUGGUGCUGACAGGGUCCGAUCAAAUGUUUUGGUCUGACUCGGUCCGGUCAGGGUGUUUGAUAUGCUUCUGACCUAGGCCACACGUUUGACUCAGCCCAUAAAAACAACUAUCUCGAUCCUUUAAAAAAACAUGGUUGAUUGAAAACUUACCCACAUUUGGCCUUCUCUAUCUAGCCCUACACAUGAUUUCUUACUUACCCCCGUUACGAUUUCUUCUAGAUCCUCCUCGUACCUCCGGCCUCAACCUUUUCCUCCUUUCCAGCUCCACCUCGCCGGCAACCUCCUCCGACUUCGUCCUCUCUAAUGCUAGACCUCUAUCGCAGCUUCACUUUCGCCACUGCUUUAGCGACGUCGACUUCCUCCAGUAUUCCAUAGCAGCUUCACGUCGUCACUACACCAUCGUCUUCAUUAGGUAAGGUCAAUUUUCUUCAAGCUUUUUUUCCUUAUCUAAAUCGAUUUCUUGUAAUUUUUUGGUCGUCAGAGUUGAUUUUUGGUUGUUGAUUGGUUUCAUGUGUGUGAUUUCUCCAUCUAAUUGAUUUUAAGCAUCUAGUCGAUAGAGUGAAUACGAUAAUUCUCAGUGAAUAUGUUUGAUACCCUUUCCUUGAAUUUUAGGUUUUCUGUUUUGAGCCUCUUUGUUUAUUGUACAAUGUAAGCUAUAAAUUUAUGACUUUUGGAAUUGUAGAUCUAUUUGACUUUAAUUUUGGUUUUAAAUGUUUAAUGGUUUCUGAAUGAAUCUUUUUUACUUUAUGCAGCUUAUUGAUUAAUUUCAAUGAAGGAUAACAGCUCAGGAGACUGGGAUAAUGAAAUUUGAUGACUGGUACAAGGAAAUAGUUCAAGAAUACAUCAAUUUAAUGAAAACAAAAUCACUAUUUAUGCAUCAUGUUCCCUAGAUUAGUGGUAAUGUUGUCAUUGAUUAUUUUUUGAAGGUUUUGGUAAUGAGAUAGUUGAUAACUUUUUUCUUCAAUUCUUUAUAAAUUUACAUUAUUUUUUCAAUUUUUUGGAUCAAAUUGAGAAAAUUUAU
rnacentral:lncRNA from 1 species